UACAGAGGUCUCAAGCGUUGUUCGGAUUCAUUGGGCGUAAAGGGUGCGUAGGCGGCGCGGUAAGUCGGGUGUGAAAUCUCGGGGCUUAACUCCGAAACUGCAUUCGAUACUGCCGUGCUUGAGGACUGGAGAGGAGACUGGAAUUUACGGUGUAGCGGUGAAAUGCGUAGAUAUCGUAAGGAAGACCAGUGGCGAAGGCGGGUCUCUGGACAGGUACUGACGCUGAGACGCGAAAGCGUGGGUAGCAAACAGG
rnacentral:rRNA from 1 species